GUGCCAGCCGCCGCGGUAACACGUAGGGGACGAGCGUUGUCCGGAUUCAUUGGGCGUAAAGCGCGCGUAGGCGGCUCGGAAAGUCGGUUGUGAAAUGCCGGGGCUCAACCCCGGGACUGCGUCCGAUACUUCCGAGCUGGAGGUAGGUAGGGGAGAUCGGAAUUCCUGGUGUAGCGGUGAAAUGCGCAGAUAUCAGGAGGAACACCGGUGGCGAAGGCGGAUCUCUGGGCCUUACCUGACGCUGAGGCGCGAAAGCUAGGGGAGCGAACAGGAUUAGAAACCCUGGUAGUCC
rnacentral:rRNA from 1 species